rnacentral:rRNA from 1 species
UUUUUAAUUGGGAUCUUGUAUGAAUGAUUGGACAAAAGAAAUUCUGUCUCUGUGUUAAAGUUGAAUUUAACUUUUAAGUGAAAAGGCUUAAAUACUCUAAUGGGACGAUAAGACCCUAUAAAGCUUUAUAUAGAAAUUUAAUAUUUAUUAAAUUUAUUGUAUAAUAAUUUAAUUAAAUUAUUUAUUAUGUUGGGGAGACAACAGUGAAAUUUUUAUUAACCGCUGAAAAUUGUAAACAGUAAUUGUUGGAUAAUUAAUAGAUCCUUUAUAAAGAUUAAAAGAUUAAGUUACUUUAGGGAUAACAGCGUUAUAUCUUUUGAGAGUUCUUAUCGAAAAAGGUGUUUGCGACCUCGAUGUUGAAUUAAAAUAUCUAUAUAAUGUAGCUGUUAUAUUAGAAGGUCUGUUCGACCUUUAAAAUUUUAU